rnacentral:tRNA from 1 species
UCUCGUUUAGCUCAGCAGGAAGAGCGCACGUCUGAUACGCGUGAGGUCACUGGUUCAAAUCCAGUAGCGAGAA